CAGCCGCCGCGGGAAUACGAAGGGGGCUAGCGUUGCUCGGAAUUACUGGGCGUAAAGGGCGCGUAGGCGGACAGUUCAGUCGGGGGUGAAAGCCCGGGGCUCAACCUCGGAAUUGCCUUCGAUACUGGCUGUCUUGAGUAUGAGAGAGGUGUGUGGAACUCCGAGUGUAGAGGUGAAAUUCGUAGAUAUUCGGAAGAACACCAGUGGCGAAGGCGACACACUGGCUCAUUACUGACGCUGAGGCGCGAAAGCGUGGGGAGCAAACAGGAUUAGAGACCCCUGUAGUCCCUGUCUCUUAUAC
rnacentral:rRNA from 1 species